GUGAUGAUAAAAAAGCUUCGUAUUAAAGAGCCAAUUGGUGAAUAAAGGUGAACCACUUCUGCAGAAAGUUCGACCUUAUAUUGCAAUCAAGGCGACAAAAAUUCUCGACAACCUGUUCAUUAAAAAAAUAUUCACAUUUCGACAUUAUGUCGAAAUUUUUCUUCGAGACUUCCAUAAAUUUUCGUACUUCAGACUUCUACAGUCACUCUGUUGAUUUCCUAUUGAACCACCUAACAUUGGCUUGUCUAAACCUCAAAGAGUCAAACAAUUUAAAUAACUUUAGAACGAUGUAUGUACGUCAACUGAUGAAAUCUGGGAAGGAUUCACACUAAGCCUUUGGCUGUAUACGAGUGUAAGCCGAUUGAGUAUAAUAAGUUUGAAGCUAAAUUUAAACAUACUAAUUGUUUAGUACUGAAAAAUCCACGUAAGGAUCUGUUUAGCAAAAGCAGAUUUAAACGUCCGCGGUCUAUUAUGGAAAUGGUGUCGGCUCCCCUUGCGCGCUAUUCAACUGGUAGCGGAUUUCAAAUUUCCCGCGCUUAAACCAUGCUAGUUACCAUUGGCCAUGUUGGGAAUAGAGGGUGGGGGAGAUACACGCGACUGUUUAUAAAGGUUUAUUGGAGAAUUGUAAUAGGAAUGAGCAGAGAACAAGUGAAGUUAUGAGGUGUAUAAAAGAAGACAUAUGCAAAGAUACCUUGUGCGCGAUACUAGCAGGAAUAAAAACAAAACUAUAUCUAUUACCCGCUUUUUAAAUUGAUUACGGAAAUUGAAAAUGUUUGGAGCUUCUUCAAAGGUUUAAUGUGUUGGAGUGUUCCAGGUGGGUAAAAGUGCAGUUCCGAUACCUUUCUACUGCACUUUUCGCCAAGACCAAAAUGCUGCCGAAACGGUCCGGGACAUUUAUUUCGUGAACGGUAACCAUACUAUUACUAAAAAGAAUGGUUUGCUGAGUUUAAAAAGAGUGUCCACAAAUUAAAGGUGCCCCCCGCUUUGACGGGCCAUCUAAGUUUAAUGACGGUCGUCUGAAGGCACUUCUGUAGCAAGAUGUCCCACAAACAACCCACGAAUAUGUCGAAAAGCCGUGCCAUUUACUUGCCGUAAACGGCAGGAUCUACUGCGAUGUUUACAUUGAAAUUAGUCACCGCAAGCCAUUUCUGCCUAGGUAAUCAAAGCCCUACUUACAGCACUUACUAAGUCUGGUUAACCACCGAGUAAGAUUGUCGACGACGCCAACGGUUUCCGACGAAUCCUCGAAAGGUUAAUGAGGUACAAUGAAGGAUCGGCAACAGUUACUACAGUGGAAAGAUUUGAAAAUUCACCAAGAAGGCGUAAAGAGUAUUUUCGAUGAUUCACGAAUCUUGACGCAGAAAUGAUCGAUUGCUUUCGAUAAGGUAACAUGUAUCGCCAACCGGGCCAUCCAGAUGAACCACUAUUGUUAGCUGUAGAUUUCUUACGCUUAAACCCACUUUUUGCAUGAGACAUUUUUGGACUACUGUCAGGGUAAGCCUACUGGAUAUCCAAACGCAGUUUGGACGCCGCUUCUACGAGAUAUUAUAUACGUAUCACUGUCGCUUAAACAUGUUAUUUGCGAUUUUAGAAGGAUUUCCGAGCGCUGUAAAUUUUUAAUUAUAAUCUCGAUCAAAACAAACGACAUUAAAUAGACAUGCCUGUCGAAAAUGCCUCUGUCGGCACAUGCGAAAGAACGAAAACGAUUGUUUUCGUUUAGAUACAGGUUUACGAAUAAAUGACAUCAAGGUCCUUAUACACCUAUGCAAUGAACAUGUCUUCUAAAUGGAAUCUUGUCGAGAUUACAGGUUAUUUAAUAUAGCCUCUGAACUAAUUGAGCUGAUGGGCUGGCCGCUUCGCCGGACUAACCAGGCAAAAGGUUGUUAACUAAAAGUCAAAGUCAUAAUAGGCUAGUUAUAUUAAAAUAGCUAGUUAGAAGUUACAAACAGAUUUUUUAUGCUUAACCGACGAAAACUUGAAGGGAAGUAAGCGGCACAUCUCGUGAGAAGUACAUAGAUAUGAGAACCAAAAAACAUCAGCACGGAAGUGCUGAGAAAACUGAAUAACGAACUAAGCAUAUUUAUUUAGCGACGUUCUUCAGCACUCGCAUCCAUUAAAAGUUUGAGAAUAAAUUGAAGCAAUAUACGCCCUAAUAUCUCUAAUCGUUCGCUUUACAGGAUGAAACUAAAGGUGCCCGUUUGCUAUUCUGAAAGAAACUUCGGAAGGAACUAGUUUCUAGAUGGGCCGAUUAGCCUUUCACCCCCAUACCUAGAUUAGAUAAUCGAUUUGCACGUUAGAAUAACUUCAUCUUAACUAGGGAUAGGUCACCAUCUUUCGAGGCUCAAAUAUCACAAAUGUCAGAAAGCAUAGGUAGUCCACCGCUUAAUCAUAGAACAACCACAUGACAAUACAUUUGCAUUUAAUUUCGCCUUUUGGUAUUAGGACCCAGUGAUUCCUGAAUUCCGUGAUACGUGUUUUAAGAGAAGUGCAAUAACUAAUGGCAACCAUUGAUGAUGGAUCGGAACUAUAGUAACAUGCUCACCGCAACAACGAAUAAACCAAAUCGCAGACACAUCAGAUACAUUUAGUAAACGCAGGCCACAGCUGUCACACAGCUAGAGUACUAUACCGGCUAACUGAUGCCCAGCACAGGACAUCGACUACGUUAGAAUAUUAUACAAGAAGAAAGAACAGGAAUUUAAACAAAAACACUCAAAAUGUACCUGAAACUUGUGUACAAAAAGUGUGUUUUUCUGCAUACACGCUCGUUUUGUAUUCGAACGGCUUUCGCUAUACAACAUCUCUUAAUUCAAGAAUAUAUACAACUAUUACAGAUCACAAACAAUACAGCAGGAUAAGUUAAGCUGUCUAGGAAGGACAUGAUUCAAGAUUUUAAUAGCUCUACUACGCUAGACUAGAUAUUUAUGGCAGAGACCCAAUCACUGAAACACGCUAGCGAACUACUUUUCCCGUACUAGCUUAAUGCCUAACCGAAAAAUAAGCCGAUAAUUCUCGAUAAUAUUUAUUUGCAUACGACAUAGCAUGCUGGCAAGUCACUCCUUUUGUUUCAUUUCCUAUGUGGCACUAUA